AAGUCGUAACAAGGUUUCCGUAGGUGAACCUGCGGAAGGAUCAUUAUUGAAUAUUCUUGAUGGGUUGUAGCUGGCUCUUUGGAGCAUGUGCACGCCUGUCUUGACUUUAUUCAUCCACCUGUGCACCUUUUGUAGUCUUGGGGGUCAGAGCAGUCGACUUGUCGGAUCCGAUCCGGAUGUGAGGAUUGCUGAGUGCGGAAGCAUGCGGCUCUCUUCAAAAACGACUUGCAAAAGCCCUUGAGUACUAUGUUCUUCAUACACCACGUAGUAUGUUGUAGAAUGUGAUCAAUGGGCCUAUGUGCCUAUAAUAAUCAUAUACAACUUUCAGCAACGGAUCUCUUGGCUCUC
rnacentral:misc_RNA from 1 species